rnacentral:rRNA from 1 species
GUAACGAGCGCAACCCUUGUCCUUAGUUACCAGCACGUUAUGGUGGGCACUCUAAGGAGACUGCCGGUGACAACCGAGGAAGGUGGGGAUGACGUCAAGUCAUCAUGGCCCUUACGGCCUGGGCUACACACGUGCUACAAUGGUCGGUACAAAGGGUUGCCAAGCCGCGAGGUGGAGCUAAUCCCAUAAAAACCGAUCGUAGUCCGGAUCGCAGUCUGCAACUCGACUGCGUGAAGUCGGAAUCGCUAGUAAUCGUGAAUCAGAAUGUCACGGUGAAUACGUUCCCGGGCCUU